GUCGUCAGAGGUCUGCCCCGACAGUUACACUCGUAGAAGUUGUGCGCCCCUUGUGCACGAGGUCAGAGAGCAUGAAGAAAGCAUACUCGUAGCACUACAUAUAGUCGACGACAAGCAAUUAUUGACAAAUAUAGCAAAAAAUCUAAAUGCAGAAUCACCAAAAAUUUUAAUAAAAAGAGAAGAAUACGCAUCUCGGAAGAACACGGAAUCACAAUUUGCAGCGUUAGAUAUAAAGCUGUAACAUUACACAUGAUAUAGAAUAUCAGAGUCACACAUCAGAAAAAAUAUUGAAUGUAACCAAUGAUAUGGAAUCAUGCUUGAAAAAUAUUGUA